CCUACGGGGUGCAGCAGUGAGGAAUAUUGGUCAAUGGACGAGAGUCUGAACCAGCCAAGUAGCGUGAAGGAUGACUGCCCUAUGGGUUGUAAACUUCUUUUAUAUGGGAAUAAAAUGUUCCACGUGUGGGAUUUUGUAUGUACCAUAUGAAUAAGGAUUGGCUAACUCCGUGCCAGCAGCCGCGGUAAUACGGAGGAUCCGAGCGUUAUCCGGAUUUAUUGGGUUUAAAGGGAGCGUAGGUGGAUUGUUAAGUCAGUUGUGAAAGUUUGCGGCUCAACCGUAAAAUUGCAGUUGAAACUGGCAGUCUUGAGUACAGUAGAGGUGGGCGGAAUUCGUGGUGUAGCGGUGAAAUGCUUAGAUAUCACGAAGAACUCCGAUUGCGAAGGCAGUUCACUGGACUGCAACUGACACUGAGGCUCGAAAGUGUGGGUAUCAAACAGGAUUAGAUACCCUGGUAGUC
rnacentral:rRNA from 1 species